rnacentral:rRNA from 1 species
UACGUAGGGGGCAAGCGUUGUCCGGAUUUAUUGGGCGUAAAAGGCUUGUAGGUGGCCACGCCAAGUCGGAUGUGAAAUCUCCCGGCUCAACUGGGAGGGGUCAUUCGAUACUGGCGGGCUCGAGGCCGGUAGGGGGAAGUGGAAUUCCCGGUGUAGUGGUGGAAUGCGUAGAUAUCGGGAGGAACACCAGUGGCGAAGGCGGUUCUCUGGGACGGUACUGACGCUGAGACGCGAAAGCGUGGGGAGCGAACAGG